UACGUAGGGGGCAAGCGUUGUCCGGAUUUAUUGGGCGUAAAAGGCUUGUAGGUGGCCACGCCAAGUCGGAUGUGAAAUCUCCCGGCUCAACUGGGAGGGGUCAUUCGAUACUGGCGGGCUCGAGGCCGGUAGGGGGAAGUGGAAUUCCCGGUGUAGUGGUGGAAUGCGUAGAUAUAUGGAGGAACACCAAUGGCGAAGGCAGCUUGCUGGACAGUAAUUGACGCUGAGAUGCGAAGGCGUGGGGAGCAAACAGG
rnacentral:rRNA from 1 species